GACGAACGCUGGCGGCGUGCCUAAUACAUGCAAGUUGAGCGCUGAAGGUUGGUACUUGUACCAACUGGAUGAGCAGCGAACGGGUGAGUAACGCGUGGGGAAUCUGCCUUUGAGCGGGGGACAACAUUUGGAAACGAAUGCUAAUACCGCAUAAAAACUUUAAACACAAGUUUUAAGUUUGAAAGAUGCAAUUGCAUCACUCAAAGAUGAUCCCGCGUUGUAUUAGCUAGUUGGUGAGGUAAAGGCUCACCAAGGCGAUGAUACAUAGCCGACCUGAGAGGGUGAUCGGCCACAUUGGGACUGAGACACGGCCCAAACUCCUACGGGAGGCAGCAGUAGGGAAUCUUCGGCAAUGGACGAAAGUCUGACCGAGCAACGCCGCGUGAGUGAAGAAGGGUUUCGGAUCGUAAAACUCUGUUGGUAGAGAAGAACGUUGGUGAGAGUGGAAAGCUCAUCAAGUGACGGUAACUACGCAGAAAGGGACGGCUAACUACGUG
rnacentral:rRNA from 1 species